GGGGAAUAUUGCACAAUGGGGGAAACCCUGAUGCAGCAACGCCGCGUGAAGGAUGACGGUUUUCGGAUUGUAAACUUCUUUUCUUAGUGACGAAGACAGUGACGGUAGCUAAGGAAUAAGCAUCGGCUAACUACGUGCCAGCAGCCGCGGUAAUACGUAGGAUGCAAGCGUUAUCCGGAUUUACUGGGUGUAAAGGGAGCGCAGGCGGGACUGCAAGUUGGAUGUGAAAUACCGUGGCUUAACCACGGAACUGCAUCCAAAACUGUAGUUCUUGAGUGAAGUAGAGGCAAGCGGAAUUCCGAGUGUAGCGGUGAAAUGCGUAGAGAUUGGGAGGAACACCAGUGGCGAAGGCGACUAACUGGACUGUAACUGACGCUGAGGCGCGAAAGUGUGGGGAGCAAACAGGAUUAGAUACCCUGGUAGUCCACACUGUAAACGAUGAAUGCUAGGUGUAGGGGGUAUCGACCCCUUCUGUGCCGCAGUCAACACAAUAAGCAUUCCGCCUGGGGAGUACGGCCGCAAGGUUGAAACUCAAAGGAAUUGACGGGGGCCCGCACAAGCAGUGGAGUAUGUGGUUUAAUUCGAAGCAACGCGAAGAACCUUACCAGGUCUUGACAUCCAACUAACGAAGUAGAGAUACAUUAGGUGCCCUUCGGGGAAAGUUGAGACAGGUGGUGCAUGGUUGUCGUCAGCUCGUGUCGUGAGAUGUUGGGUUAAGUCCCGCAACGAGCGCAACCCUUAUCUUCAGUUACUAACGGGUAAGGCUGAGGACUCUGAAGAGACUGCCGGGGACAACUCGGAGGAAGGUGGGGACGACGUCAAAUCAUCAUGCCCCUUAUGACCUGGGCUACACACGUGCUACAAUGGCCACGACAGAGAGAAGCGAAAUCGCAAGGUAGAGCGGAACUCAAAAAAGUGGUCCCAGUUCGGAUUGUGGGCUGCAACCCGCCCACAUGAAGUCGGAGUUGCUAGUAAUCGCGGAUCAGCAUGCCGCGGUGAAUACGUUCCCG
rnacentral:rRNA from 1 species